UUUAUAGAAUAUUCCACUAGCUUUCAAAAAAAAAAAUAGAUCAAUCAAUCACAUGGUAAACACGAAACAUAUGAGUUAACAACGGUCGGUAUUACCGGAAGAGCCCAAAAGCAUUAACCAAGUUUUGUAAUGGGGGAAAACCCACUACGAGUUUGUUGAACAUGUAGAUCGGUAACGUAUACGUCACACUAUUGACACUGCUACGCAUCUCUUAUUAAAAGUCCGUCGUUACAUAAACUGUUUCGUCAAUAGGAGACAUACUUUUUAUGUAUUUUGAAACCAUUGUUUUGGGGACAGGCAAUGGACACAACUGACAAAUGGAACAUGUGGCAACUCUUGUUAUUUUUGCGGUCAUGGUUGCGGCGGUGUCAGGGUGACGUAUUCAGCGAACUCCGCCGCGAGGGUGUCGGAGGGAGUCCGGGAGGCCGCACGGUGAGCGCUCUCGUCCUCACACUCCGAGUCAUAGCUGGAGUCUUCGCCGCGCUCGCCACCCCAUCCAAGAGAUGACUCCACAUAUUUCUGGAACAAUACCACCGUAUUUAGCAUGAAGUGUCUGUUUUUGGUACUACAAAACAUGAACGGCCACAUCUGAUAUGUAAUAAGAAAAAAAAAACAAUGCCGCACUGUCAAAAUGCUUGAUUUAAUUCCUUUUGUGAUAAGAUAACGGGAAUUGAAACGAAUUAUGAAUUUCAAAA